rnacentral:rRNA from 1 species
UACGAAGGGUGCAAACGUUGCUCGGAAUUAUUGGGCGUAAAGCGCACGUAGGCGGCUCAACAAGUCGGAUGUGAAAUCCCUCGGCUCAACCAAGGAAGUGCAUCCGAAACUGUAGAGCUUGAGUACGAAAGAGGAUCGCGGAAUUCCCGGUGUAGAGGUGAAAUUCGUAGAUAUCAAGAGGAACACCUGAGGUGAAGACGGGUUGCUGGGCUGACACUGACGCUGAGGCGCGAAAGCCAGGGGAGCAAACGGG